rnacentral:lncRNA from 1 species
GCUGUCCCCGCCCCUCGCUCUGUUUUCCACCAGCUGCCUGUCCAGCGGGCCUGCCGCCUCCACCGCCCAGUCCUUGCUCAGGUGUCACUGUUGCUGGCAGGCCAGGAUUAGGAAAGGAGAAUGGGCAGGGGGUGGUGGCUGGGAGGAGAUGGGCUCUACCAUGCCACCCCCACCCUCACUUGGCUUCCUACCCUGGAAUCCGCAUACACCCCCGCGCCUCCUUGGCACCCGCGCCUUGGAGACUGGGUUAAGCUGCAGUGUGAGUAGCCAAGAACGGACGGUGUCUCCGGGUGUGUGCGUGGCCUGUGAGAGGGCACGGAGAAGGCGGGGAGAGGAGUGAAGCGGGUGGGGGCAACCGAGAGAGGGCGGAGGAAGGAAGAGCGCGAGGAGCUUGGGGCCCACGGCGCAGCUGCUGUCGCUGCCGCAGCUGUCCAGGGACAAUCGCCAAAACUAUG